CCUACGGGAGGCAGCAGUGAGGAAUAUUGGUCAAUGGACGAGAGUCUGAACCAGCCAAGUAGCGUGAAGGAUGACUGCCCUAUGGGUUGUAAACUUCUUUUAUAUGGGAAUAAAGUGUUCAACGUGUGGGUUUUUGUAUGUACCAUAUGAAUAAGGAUCGGCUAACUCCGUGCCAGCAGCCGCGGUAAUACGGAGGAUGCGAGCGUUAUCCGGAUUUAUUGGGUUUAAAGGGUGCGUAGGUGGUUAGUUAAGUCAGUGGUGAAAGUUUGCGGCUCAACCGUAAAAUUGCAGUUGAAACUGGCAGUCUUGAGUAUAGUAGAGGUAGGCGGAAUUCGUGGUGUAGCGGUGAAAUGCUUAGAUAUCACGCAGAACUCCGAUUGCGAAGGCAGUUCACUAGACUACAACUGACACUGAAGCUCGAAAGUGUGGGUAUCAAACAGGAUUAGAUACCCCGGUAGUC
rnacentral:rRNA from 1 species